CUUAAGUGUGCGUUUAUGAGAAGACCAUGCAAAAUCCUGAAAAAUCGACAAGGUGGGGGGUCAGCGAAUUAAGUUCAAAUCUUGGCCAUUUGAUCCCCACCUGAGACGAUACCACUCGGUGGAGUAGCUCGAUAAAUAAUCACACGGUGGCCGAGUACGGGGCACCAACAAUUUUGAGCAAAAAGGGUGACUUCCGGGGAGUAAAUUUGUGUUGUUUCUGGUGUAAAGUUAUAGCCUCGUUUAUACCCUUAAACUAAAUCGUUUACUGUCGACCUACAUAUCAAAAGAAAGGGUUUAAUCUCCUCUAAACGAUGAAAUAUAAAUCUUUGAUAUGCAAGCAUUCACUGCGGAGAUAUAGGCGUAAGAAAAACACGUAUCAGCUCUAUUACGAAAUGAAGUCCUUUACGCGGUAAACCAUAACUUAAUUAAUGCAGGGCUGAGAGUCAACAAACUUGGAGGAAAUAUAGUUCAGAUAUCCGACUACAAUAAUAAAAAAUAAAAAAACUGUCAGCUCUUCUUGUUUUUGUUUGCUCACGGUCAACAAAGUUGAAAAAUUCCUAAUUUUCAAGACCAAACCUACAUAGCCCCCUAGACAGUUCCGAGUGCAAUUGGUUGCCCUUAAUUGACAUUUUGCAGGAAUUGUUGUAAGAGCAUAACAAAAUGUACAUUUUGCAGACUUCACCUAUUGGGUGGGUGGGUGAGUGGGCUACCUUUGGUGGUGCGCACUGAUCCGGUAGGAGGGGAACGUCCUGUUGCCGCCCACCCAGUUAGCGCGCGGUAUCGAAAGAGGGCGCCCUCGCAUUACAUUACCGUCAAAAUGGCAGCCAUGGACAUGCCGUCUGUGCGGCCGGCUGCAAUGUGAUUUUAGUAAUUUUGAGUAUAGCAAAGCCAUCGAAUGUGGUGUAAAUCCCUCUUAUCUGCGCGAACUAAAUACAGUGCAACUUAAUCGAUGCACAAAAGACAUACGGAGCCAUUUGCAGAAGUGGAAAGUCGCUGCAUAUGAUGUGAAUGUCGAGUGGAAACUGAUCCUCCUGCGAUGUGGUUUGUGCGACGUCGAUGCAUACACUGAUAAGACAAUACGUCCAGCGCAUAGAUACAAGUUAGGGUUGAGUUGGACAUCAUCAAGGAAAUGUUGUCAUCCACUCCAUAAAGGGAAAGGCAAACCAUUCCGUGGUGUGAAUAAAACAACUAGCCGUGAGAUCAUAGAUGUUUGAUCGAUGGGGUACCAUGAUCACUGUUGGAACAGGUAUCUGUAGAGGUUGUCUAUCUUAGCACAAACAAGCAGUUACGCACCAGACAGCGGAACAAUUACCAUCUAGCGAUGUGCUCUCUAAGGAACAAGAAGAGCAUCAGUGUACAAUCAGUGAUUUCACAUCGCCGGCUGGUGUACCAUCUCUCCAACCCACCGACACAGCGUGCACUUCAGUUCAUGAGCAUACAUCUGAGUCCUCAUCAACUGAUGGAGAUAUUACACAGGAUGUAGGUGCACUUGACUCUUCUUGGGCUCCAACCCCCUGACCAAAGAAUGUGGAGCUGCAAUUCCUGAACACUUUCCUUACUCAGGGGGGAAUGUCUGCUGUUGAUGGGCAGCUUCAUAUGUCAUUAGAAUAAGCAUCUGAUAGCACCAUCCAUUAUUAUAGAAGGAAGGCAAAGGAAGCCUUUGGUUUAGUUGUUCAUUGUUUAGCACCACGUCAAGAAGAUGGGCUCAUGAAGAUUACAAUCGGUGAAACAACUGCUUAAUCAUCACAAAGUGGUCAAAAUUUUGAUAGUAGUGCCCGUUUUCAUUUUUUUUUAUUGCAUCCUUUUUUACCAACAUUUUUGCAUUAGUGGUUCCAUGUUCUCUUCCUUUACGUAUUUUGUGUUUAAACAAAGGGUUAUCAUGGUUUGUUAUUUGAAGACAGUGACUGUUUUUGUUUUUUAAUGUUAAUUUAAGAAGGAAAACAAUUUCUUGAUUUAUAUUCUAUUGUUUUUUCGAGUUUGAUCGUUAGGUUGUUCCAUGUGUCAUUCUAUUUUGAUACUGUGUUGGUUCAGUUUUCUUCUUUCAACUUCCAUUUAAGUUUAAAGUUCAAUUUAGUUUUGUACAGUUGACUCUCGUUAUAGCAAGGUCGGUGAGACUGCCCAAACUACCUCUUUAAACAGAAAUGUUGCUUUAAAAGGACAGAGAAACAAAGAGACACAAAGAGAACUAGAGAUUCGAGACCUCAGAAUGUGCUCUAUAUAAGCAGCAGUAGGACAUCUUUGUAAAAGUGUUCUUUAUAACAAAAGUCGACUGUAGUACUACCAUUUUACUUAUUUGGUGGGGUGGAUAACAGGUUUAAGGUUUGGAUAAAAGUUAAUUUGGAUCCUUUUUGAUUAUUGGUUUUUUGAAAGGUUUUCUUCAAAUUUUGGUUGGUAAAAUAAAUCAUUCUUUUUUGGUCUUUCUAAAACUUUGUUUGUCAUUGUUUCUAUUUAUUCAAAUUCCUCUCUACUUGUUCCUACCCCAUCUAGGUGUGUCUCAUUUUUGACGAGUACCCCAACAUUUAGCGUUUUUCUCAUUCAAUUUAUUAUUUUCCUAGUUUAUUAAUUUUCCGGGUUACAUUAACAUGCCAAAAAAAUAACAGAAUUGUCAUCCAAGCCUCAUCAUUCCCACAUUUGGUGCGCGAUAUGUGGCAGGGUGUAACCCCCCCCCCCCCCCACCACCCCCAUUGUGUCUUCAUUUUGUUCUGGUAAUCUCGGGAAUUCUUUAGAUGAUUAUUGGGGGAUACUUCUGUUAACAAAAAGACAAGUGUGUGUUGAGUAUAGGAACAUUUGUGGGGACUCCCUCUGCCACAAAUCGGGCAGGGUAUACAUUCCAUCCUGGACUCUGAAAGGUGGCGGCCAUAUUGAUUUAAAGUGAAACCCCCUACCCUAAAAAUGGGAUAAAUUAAGGAAUUAUAGCACCCCUUAUGGCGUCUCCAGUAUUAAAAUAUGUUUUAAUUUUUU